rnacentral:lncRNA from 1 species
GAAGUAUAAAAGUUGGAUAGUGAAAACAAUAAUAUUAUUAUGAAAAAACUUCAAAAAUCUCCCAUGUGGUUUCGUAGUUUCUCACUUUGCUUCCCUGUGGUUUAAAAUGUAUCAAUUUGUCCCCAUGUGGUUUCUUUUUUCUCUUUGAUUUUCUUAUCAAUUUCAUUAUUUUUUUUUCUUAAAUCAGUGAUAAAAUUAAAAUUAAAGGGUACUAAAAUAAAUAUUUGAUAAAUCUAAAUGGGUAUCUGAAGUUUUUUUGUAUAUAAUUUAAUGAAAUAUUAACGAAAAAGUUACCGAAAAGAUAAAAACGAAACCACAGGGGGGUAAUUUGAUACAUUUUAAACCAUAGGGGGGCAAAGUGAGAAACUACGAAACCACAGGGAGGGUUUUUGAAGUUUUUCCUAUUAUUAUUGACAGUGGGUCAGAUUUUGGUAGGAAUCCGCCCCAAAUGGGGUAGGAAUGGGGGAUAGUUUUACCCCUGCUGAGGCCGAGGUGGGCAGAGAUUGGGCCGGAUUUUACACUGACGGGCUGAUCCGAAGUCAAAAAAUGGGCCGAAUGAAUUCAUUUAGUUGGCUGGGCUAGGGCAGCAAAAAAUUGGAUCAUUUCCAUUGGGUGGUCGAGAAGGCUAAACUUUAAAUAUUAUUUUUGUGGUUUCGCAUUUUCUCGUUAUGGCAUCAUGUAGUUUAGCUUUUUCUCUUCUCGUCAGGGCUUUCGUUAACUUUUCGUUAAAUCAUAUACAAAAAACUUCAUAUAACCCGCCUAUGGUUUAUCGAAUAUUCACUUUAGUACUUCAUAGUUUACAGAAUUUACUUUAGUACUCUUUAGUUUUAACUUUGUCAUUAAUUUAGCAAGAAAAUUAACGAAGAGGAUAACAGAAAGAGAAAAAUGAAAUCACAUGCAUGAUACGAAAGUGAUAUAUUUUAAACCACAUGUUACUAAAGUGAGAAAGCACGAAAUCACGUGAUGGUAUUUGAAGCUUUCUCUUAUUAUUAUUAAGGCUAUUUCUGAAUUAUUUUCUAGCAAAUUGACGUUUUAUAUAAUGCAGUAAUAGAGUUAUUUCAAGAACUCUUUAGAUUCUAAUUUGUGGUCGAUGCUGAACUCAAUUCUCACAUUCCCUCACAUUCCCCACAUCGAGAGGUAUGUGACAUCUCAAUAGUCCCACAUCGGAUAAUAUGGAAGAACCUGCUGGAUUUAUAAGUAGCGGACACACUAAAUAUAAUAACUGGACUUAAGCAUUUUGGGCCGGUGGUUUCGGCCAAACGAGUUAUUAUUGCUAGGAGUCGGGUCGUUACAGUUGGUAUCAGAGCCUGAUAACCAACCGGAAGUGUGAGAUAGAUCUCACAUCGCCUGGUGAAUCUGGGACUAUAUAUAUAAUUAGGUCGGGCUGACGAGGACGUCAGGACCUAAACGAUGGGAGUACCGAGUAUGUGACAUUCCAAUUUUGGGCCGAUAGUUUGGGCUCAACGAGUUAUUAUAACUAGUGGGUCGGGUCAUUACAAAGUAAGGUACCAAUAAGUUAUUAUAACUAGUGAGUCGGGUCGCUAGAAUUUGAUCCGUAA